rnacentral:rRNA from 1 species
GGGGGGGGGGGGGGGGGGGCGGGGGGGGGGCGGGGGGAGCGGGGGGAGGGGGCGUGGGGCGGGGGUCAGCGGGGGGCGGGGGAGUAGGGCCUAGGAAGCGGCCGGGUAGUGGGGGAUAACGUCCGGAAACGGGCGCUAAUACCGCAUACGUCCGGAGGGAGAAAGGGGGGGAUCUUCGGACCUCACGCUAUCAGAGGAGCCUAGGUCGGGUUAGCUAGUUGGUGGGGUAAAGGCCUACCAAGGCGACGAUCCGUAACUGGUCUGAGAGGAUGAUCAGUCACACUGGAACUGAGACACGGUCCAGACUCCUACGGGAGGCAGCAGUGGGGAAUAUUGGACCAUGGGCGAAAGCCUGAUCCAGCCAUGCCGCGUGUGUGAAGAAGGUCUUCGGAUUGUAAAGCACUUUAAGUUGGGAGGAAGGGCAGUAAGUUAAUACCUUGCUGUUUUGACGUUACCAAGAGAAUAAGCACCGGCUAACUUCGUG